UACAGAGGUCUCAAGCGUUGUUCGGAAUCACUGGGCGUAAAGGGUGCGUAGGCGGCGCGGUAAGUCAGAGGUGAAAUGCCGGGGCUCAACCCCGGAACUGCCUCCGAUACUGCCGUGCUUGAGGACUGGAGAGGAGUCUGGAAUUCACAGUGGAGCAGUGAAAUGCGUGGAUAUUGUGAGGAACACUAGUGGCGAAGGCGAGACUCUGGACAGUUCCUGACGCUGAGGCACGAAGGCCAGGGGAGCAAACGGG
rnacentral:rRNA from 1 species